UGAUACAAAGUAAAGGAAGCAGAUCAAUUUACUUAGUAAUAGAAAUAUUAUAAAGAUAAUUGACUAUGAAAUAGUGACUGAUCAAUAUGAUGACCUACACAAUUCCAAAGGACUUAUGAUGAAAAAUGUUAUCCAUCACCAGAUAGAGAACUAUUAGACCCUGAGUGCAGAUUGAAGCAUAUUUUUUCUUCUACCUUGUUCCCUCCUUCCUCCCUCCCUCGCUUGUUCCCUCCUUUCCUCCCUCUCUCUCUCCUUUCCUUCUCUCUUUUGCUUUCUCUCUCUCUCCCUCUUUUCCUCUCUCUCUCUUGCUCUCUCUCUCACUCUUCCUUCCUUCCUUCCUUCCUUCUUUUCUCUGUCUAUCUUUUUUUCUUCUCUCUAUCUGUCUAUCUAUCUGUCUCUCUAUCUUUCUUUCUUUCUUUCUUUCUUUCUUUCUUUCUUUCUUUCUUUCUUUCUUUCUUUCUUUCUUUCUUUCUUUCUUUCUUUCUUUCUUUCUUCUUUCUUUCUCUCUCUCUCUCUCUCUCUUUCCUUCCUUCCUUCCUUCCUUCCUUCCUUCCUUCCUUCCUUCCUUCCUUCCUUCCUUCCUUCCUUCCUUCCUUCCUUCCUUCCUUCCUUCCUUCCUUCCUUCCUUCCUUCCUUCCUUCCUUCCUUCCUUCCUUCCUUUCUUCCUUCCUUCCUUCCUUCCUUCCUUCCUUCCUUCCUUCCUUCCUUCCUUCCUUCCUUCCUUCCUUCCUUCCUUCCUUUCUCUUUCUUUUCCCCCCUCCCCCACCAGGCUCCAGGCCUGGUGCUCUAUCUACCCAGGUACCCCACAGUAUUCACUUUUUAAUCUCAAUUUUUAGAUCUAGAUAAUUCUUUGCUGACCUAUAACAAUUAUAUAUUCCUCAGUGAUUAUUUAUGGGCUGUCCUGUGUAUAAAAACCCUAGUUUCAGAUCACAAUUACGUAUUUUCAAGGAUAUGAUAAAACCACAAUAAUGAAAAUAAUGGUAACUAGCAUUUACAUAUGGCACUAAAGUUUGCAAAGAGCCUUACUUUACAAAUAUUAUUUCACUUUAUCCUUACAACAGCUAGGGUCUAAAUCAUUAUCCCCAUUUUGCAGAUGAUGAAACAGAAACUGAAGGGUUAAAAUGAUUUGUCCAGGAUGACUCAACAGUGUCUGAGGCUAAAUUAGAACUCAGGUGUUUCUAGCUUCAGGACCAGGACUCUUUCCACUGUAUUACUGUUCUCAGCUACCUGUGAGACUGUCACUAGAUAUGAAAUAUUAGCUUUGGAUAUGAGGGUGUCACUAGAGAAGAAAGUCAUGGAAGUUACACAGAUUUCCUGUGUAUAGCUCACAAGCUAAUAUUGGACUUAAUCUCAUCUGUGCUAGUGUGUAAGUCCUCUGCAGUCUCUGAGGGAUGUGCGGGGUGUGCGGGGUGUUCCGGAAGGGUUAGCACCUCUGGGCUUGCUGAGUCCUUUUUAGGGUUGCUCUAUUUCAGCAGAAUGGGUGAAUGAGAACAAAGUUGUCCCAAUAGCUGGGAAGGUAGAUAGUCACAAGUUUUGAGAAAUCCCAUUAACCAGACAUCAGAGUCAAUCCUCAACAUUAAAAAGGGCAGAUUACUGGUGGACAGCAGAACAGCGAAUGGAUAGAGUGCCAGGUCAGGAAUCCGGAGGACCUGAGUGCCUUCGUUUCCUCAUCUAUAAAAUGAACUGGAAAAGGAAAUGGCAAAGUGCUCCAGUAUCUCUACCAAGAAAGCCUCGAAUGGGGCAACGGAGAGUCAAAACCCAACUCAACAACAACACUGAUACCCUCAGACCUAGGAGAGAAGGUUUAGAGGAGAAGAUGUAGCUACAUUUCGAUAUAACUUCUGGCUCAGAAUUGUAACUCCUGGUUUCCAAAGACGGGUCUAAUGUUGGAGAUUUCUCAAUAAUCCUGCUUUCUUUGGCUUGUUCCCCAACCCAGGGUAUUCUCUGGCAACACCAAAACUUGGCUCAUUUUGUCCCCAAUCAUAGUUUCUCUUGGGAACUUCAAAAUCUGGCUCAUGUUUAGGUCUCAAGAACAAAAGACAGAGAUCCCAUGCAAGCACUCAAGGUUAUUUUGAAUUCAACAAACAUUAUUUAACUCUACAAAAAAAAAAAAAAGACUCACACCUGAGCUAAAACAGUGGAGACAAUCCUCCUAUCUUCUCCAAUGCAUACCAUUAGAUCUUUAUAUUUAGAGUACUUCUUUGGCUAGGGCACAGGGGCCUUCUUUCUCUUUUAUGAAGACCUAAAUGUUAACCAAAUUCUGAUUUGUAGGGAAUUAGGGUUGGGGCAAAAUGAGCCAAGUUCUGAUGUUUUCUCAGGGAACACUGGAUAGGGGUACAGACUGAAGGGAUAACUGAGAAGCUUCCGGAAUUUAUAAGCUUUGGAUAUAGGCCAUGUGUUACAUAAGGAUAAAGUAAAUCAUUCGACCAAAUACUUUAAGUGCCAGCCCUAUAGAUAGAAAACCAAAAAUGAAACAUUCCUUUUUCUCAAGAAGUUUUCAUUCUGUUGGGAAGGGGAAAUAAUGUGAACAGAGAAAACCAAACACAAAAUUUAUACAAAGUGAUUGCAAAGUUUUUUCUGGGCAGGAGGUAGCUAUACUAACUUGCAGAAGUUGUGGGUGGGCUUCAGGAUAAGCCUCCUGUAGAAGGUGAGAUGGAAGCUGACCCUUAAAAGAAACUAGGAGCUAAGAGUUGCAAGUAAGAACAUUUCAGGCCUUGGGGGAGAGCCUGUGUUGGUUGGUUGGCCGGUUGCUGUCCUGGUGAUGGGUUUUAAGUGAUGCAGAAUUGCACAAAGUCUUCAGCCUCACUUUUUCUUCCAUAGUCAUCAAAGUCCAGUGGCAAGACAAAAGUCAAGAUGAUCUGUGAUGGCUCAGGAGAGUCUGUAUGAAGGUAUGAAUGAACUCAAUAAGUCCAGAAGUCAAUCCAUCAAUGAGUAGUUAUUAAACACCUCUUGUGCCUCAGACAGUGUGCUAAGUAUAUAAAAAUAAAUAAUGAAAGAGUAGCUGUAGCA
rnacentral:lncRNA from 1 species